GACGUAGGGUGCAAGCGUUGUCCGGAAUUAUUGGGCGUAAAGAGCUCGUAGGCGGCCUGUUGCGUCCGCUGUGAAAUCCCGGGGCUCAACCCCGGGCCUGCAGUGGAUACGGGCUGGCUAGAGGCAGGCAGGGGAGAACGGAAUUCCUGGUGUAGCGGUGAAAUGCGCAGAUAUCAGGAGGAACACCGGUGGCGAAGGCGGUUCUCUGGGCCUGUACUGACGCUGAGGAGCGAAAGCGUGGGGGAGCGAACAGG
rnacentral:rRNA from 1 species